UAAUAUAUUCCGCAACACGAGGGCAUAAUGUGAAAUCACGCGUAAAAAUAAUCCUGCGCGUAUGAAUAUGAGGAUCUAGUGGGAAUAACGAAGAGGCUCUCGAGACAUCGGAUUCCUCGAAAUAAUUGUCAGAUCAGUUUGACGAGUAAGAAAAAUUGAUAAAAUAAAGAAAUGGCUGACGUAACGGGAUACUUUCAAACGUACAUAACCUAUAUUGAUUCUUCUAUGAAAUUCAAAUGUUUGAAUAAAAUAAAUGAAGUUGAGUAUCGCGCAAAAUAAUAA